rnacentral:misc_RNA from 1 species
GAUGAAGAACGCAGCGAAAUGUGAUACGUAAUGUGAAUUGCAGAAUUCAGUGAAUCAUCGAAUCUUUGAACGCAUAUUGCGCUCUCUGGUAUUCCGGAGAGCAUGCUUGUUUGAGUAUCAGUAAACACCUCAACUUCCAUAUCUUUUUUGAAAUGGGAGUUGGACUUGAGUGAUCCCAACGCUUUUCCUCACCGAAAAGUGGCGGGUUACUUGAAAUGCAGGUGCAGCUGGACUUUUCUCUGAGCUAUAAGCAUAUCUAUUUAGUCUGCCUAAAAAACAGAUUAUUACCUUUGCUGCAGCUAACAGAAAGGAGAUUAGUUCUUGUGCUGACUGAUGCAGGAUUCACAAAGACAGGCUUCGGCCGACUUUGUAAACUCGAUCUCAAAUCAAGUAAGACUACCCGCUGAACUUAAGCAUAUCAAUAAGCGGAGGA